rnacentral:lncRNA from 1 species
GCGAGGGAAAAAAUGGUGGCGGCCAACGUUGGGAAGAAAGGAAAAAAAUCAAGGAAAAAAAAGGAGAGGAACCGAGAGUGAGAGCAAGAGAGAGUAGGGUGGCGGGCAACAAAGGAAACAAGAAAAAGGAAAUCGAGAGAAUGGAGGAGAUUGAGAGGGGGAGAGGCUGCGAAGGGAAAAAGGAGGAGAGCUUGUGGGUUGAGGAAGAAAAGGAACCAAAACAAGAAUAGGAAAACUAGGGAGAGAUAAACAAGAGCAAGAAAG